GAUGAACGCUGGCGGCGUGCCUAAUACAUGCAAGUCGAGCGAACGGACGAGAAGCUUGCUUCUCUGAUGUUAGCGGCGGACGGGUGAGUAACACGUGGAUAACCUACCUAUAAGACUGGGAUAACUUCGGGAAACCGGAGCUAAUACCGGAUAAUAUUUUGAACCGCAUGGUUCAAAAGUGAAAGACGGUCUUUCUGUCACUUAUAGAUGGAUCCGCGCUGCAUUAGCUAGUUGGUAAGGUAACGGCUUACCAAGGCAACGAUGCAUAGCCGACCUGAGAGGGUGAUCGGACACACGGGAACUGAGACACGGUCCAGACUCCUACGGGAGGCAGCAGUAGGGAAUCUUACGCAAUGGGCGAAAGCAUGACGGAGCAACGCCGCGUGAGUGAUGAAGGUCUUCGGAUCGUAAAACUCUGUUAUUAGGGAAGAACAUAUGUGUAAGUAACUGUGCACAUCUUGACGGUACCUAAUCAGAAAGCCACGGCUAACUACGUG
rnacentral:rRNA from 1 species